rnacentral:rRNA from 1 species
CGCGGCCUAUCAGCUUGUUGGUGGGGUAAUGGCCUACCAAGGCGACGACGGGUAGCCGGCCUGAGAGGGCGACCGGCCACACUGGAACUGAGACACGGUCCAGACUCCUACGGGGGGCAGCAGUGGGGAAUAUUGCACAAUGGGCGCAAGCCUGAUGCAGCGACGCCGCGUGAGGGAUGACGGCCUUCGGGUUGUAAACCUCUUUCAGCAGGGACGAAGCGCAAGUGACGGUACCUGCAGAAGAAGCACCGGCUAACUACGUGCCAGCAGCCGCGGUAAUACGUAGGGUGCGAGCGUUGUCCGGAAUUACUGGGCGUAAAGAGUUCGUAGGCGGUUUGUCACGUCGUGUGUGAAAUCCCACAGCUUAACUGUGGGCUUGCAGGCGAUACGGGCAGACUUGAGUACUGCAGGGGAGACUGGAAUUCCUGGUGUAGCGGUGAAAUGCGCAGAUAUCAGGAGGAACACCGGUGGCGAAGGCGGGUCUCUGGGCAGUAACUGACGCUGAGGAACGAAAGCGUGGGGAGCGAACAGGAUUAGAUACCCUGGUAGUCCACGCCGUAAACGGUGGGUACUAGUUGUGGGUCCCUUCCACGGGAUCCGUGACGCAGCUAACGCAUUAAGUACCCCGCCUGGGGAGUACGGC